rnacentral:rRNA from 1 species
GACGAACGCUGGCGGCGUGCUUAACACAUGCAAGUCGAACGGAAAGGCCCUGCUUGUGUGGGGUGCUCGAGUGGCGAACGGGUGAGUAACACGUGAGUAACCUGCCCUUGACUUUGGGAUAACGUCAGGAAACUGGGGCUAAUACCGGAUAGGAGCGCCUGCUGCAUGGGGGGGGUCGGAAAGUUUCGGCGGUUGGGGAUGGACUCGCGGCUUAUUAGCUUGUUGGUGGGGUAGUGGCUUACCAAGGCUUUGACGGGUAGCCGGCCUGAGAGGGUGACCGGCCACAUUGGGACUGAGAUACGGCCCAGACUCCUACGGGAGGCAGCAGUGGGGAAUAUUGCACAAUGGGCGGAAGCCUGAUGCAGCAACGCCGCGUGCGGGAUGACGGACUUCGGGUUGUCAACCGCUUUCGCCUGUGACGAAGCGUGAGUGACGGUAAUGGGUAAAGAAGCACCGGCUAACUACGUG